rnacentral:rRNA from 1 species
UACGGAGGGUGCAAGCGUUAUCCGGAUUCACUGGGUUUAAAGGGUGCGUAGGUGGGCAGGUAAGUCAGUGGUGAAAUCUCCGGGCUUAACCCGGAAACUGCCGUUGAUACUAUUUGUCUUGAAUAUUGUGGAGGUAAGCGGAAUAUGUCAUGUAGCGGUGAAAUGCAUAGAUAUGACACAGAACACCGAUUGCGAAGGCAGCUGACGAAACUGUAACUGACGCUGAGGCACGAAAGCGUGGGGAUCAAACAGG